rnacentral:rRNA from 1 species
AGCGAACGCUGGCGGCAGGCCUAAUACAUGCAAGUCGAACGGUAACAGGUCUUCGGAUGCUGACGAGUGGCGAACGGGUGAGUAAUACAUCGGAACGUGCCUAGUAGUGGGGGAUAACUACUCGAAAGAGUGGCUAAUACCGCAUGAGAUCUACGGAUGAAAGCAGGGGAUCGCAAGACCUUGUGCUACUAGAGCGGCCGAUGGCAGAUUAGGUAGUUGGUGGGAUAAAAGCUUACCAAGCCGACGAUCUGUAGCUGGUCUGAGAGGACGAUCAGCCACACUGGGACUGAGACACGGCCCAGACUCCUACGGGAGGCAGCAGUGGGGAAUUUUGGACAAUGGGCGCAAGCCUGAUCCAGCAAUGCCGCGUGCAGGAUGAAGGCCUUCGGGUUGUAAACUGCUUUUGUACGGAACGAAAAGCCCUGGGUUAAUACCCUGGGGUCAUGACGGUACCGUAAGAAUAAGCACCGGCUAACUACGUGCCAGCAGCCGCAGUAAUAC